UGGGGAAUAUUGCACAAUGGGCGAAAGCCUGAUGCAGCGACGCCGCGUGAGGGAUGACGGCCUUCGGGUUGUAAACCUCUUUCAGCAGGGACGAAGCGCAAGUGACGGUUCCUGCAGAAGAAGCACCGGCUAACUACGUGCCAGCAGCCGCGGUAAUACGUAGGGUGCAAGCGUUGUCCGGAAUUACUGGGCGUAAAGAGUUCGUAGGCGGUUUGUCGCGUCGUUUGUGAAAACCAGCAGCCCAACUGCUGGCUUGCAGGCGAUACGGGCAGACUUGAGUACUGCAGGGGAGACUGGAAUUCCUGGUGUAGCGGUGAAAUGCGCAGAUAUCAGGAGGAACACCGGUGGCGAAGGCGGGUCUCUGGGCAGUAACUGACGCUGAGGAACGAAAGCGUGGGUAGCGAACAGG
rnacentral:rRNA from 1 species